rnacentral:rRNA from 1 species
UACGGAGGGGGCUAGCGUUGUUCGGAAUUACUGGGCGUAAAGCGCGUGUAGGCGGUCGUGCAAGUCGGGUGUGAAAGCCCGGGGCUCAACCCCGGAAGUGCAUUCGAUACUGCAUGGCUAGAGUACCGGAGAGGGUGGUGGAACUCUCGGUGUAGAGGUGAAAUUCGUAGAUAUCGAGAAGAACACCGGUGGCGAAGGCGGCCACCUGGACGGAUACUGACGCUGAGACGCGAAAGCGUGGGGAGCAAACAGG